GCGGUACCGGGCCAGGCCUCGGCCAAGGUUGUGCUUGGGGGGUCGGUCCUUCGGGAACAGGCCGGGGACUGUCUGACUUGGGGGAGAAGGUCUGGCCAAACCGGCCUCCGGGAGUCGGGCUGGCUGCGGGCCAGCGCACCGGGGGUCCAGGGAGGCAGACGCCCCGGCCACGCUAGGGCCCAGCACGGAGCCUGGGAGACGCGGCCGCGCAGGCGCAGCGCCGCCGCGCCCAGACUCCCAGCGUGCCCCGGGAGCAGGGCCAGUGCGCACGCGCAGGGACGCGCCGGACGCUCUGACGUCCGCGGGGCGCGCCGACGUCCGGCCGCCUCGCCUGCCCCGCCCCCCAGCCCGGCCGACACCCUCUCCCCCGCCCCCGACCACGCCCCGUCCCGGCGGUCCCACCCCGCCUCGCGAGCGCGCGUGUCGCUCGAGCAGCAGGACCGCGUCCACAGGCGGCCCGACCGAGGCCGGCGCCGGUCUCCCCGGCCCAGACUGUUAAUCUGUCUUCCGGCCCCUUGAGUACAGUGUCAUCUUACAGCCCUGCCUUAGAGUUUCCAGUAUUUUAAGAUCACUCCAUUGUCUGCAUCUCUCUGGGGUCUUUUCAUCACGGCCACCUCCUGGCGUGCUGCCCGUCUGUGGAGGAAGCCACCGGGAAUUGGGCGACAGGGUGGUGCAGGGGGCGGUGUCCCCCUCCCCCCCAGCAGACGGCCACGUAGGCGCACCGGCUGAGGUCAGACCGCCUCCUCCCGCGCCUGGGAGCGCUCACAGCCCAGCUCGCUUCCUCCUGCUCCGGCGCAGUCGCUCCUCCAGGACCCAGCGCUGGAGGGCGUCCGCCUCUCCUCACAGCCCCGCUGCCCUCUCCUGACUCAGCGGGUGCUCCACGUGACCCCUCGCUGAGCCCUCUUCCGGGUCCUGGCCUCCAGGUUCCUCCCUGUCUCGGUAGCAUUCUGAUGGGUGUGCGGGUUUCUGUCUUAAUACUGGGCCCGGCCCUUUAGACCCCCUCCCUUCUCAAGACCACGAAGUGCAAUCGGUACUUGGUUUGCACUCCAAGCCCUUGGGAAGCUGGGCAGUGGAUGGGCUGAGAACAGGUGUGACUCGGUGCUUCCAUCCGGGACCCCAGCUUCUGUGUGGGUGGGGAUGGCCCUGGGAGCUGAGGAAGAGGUGGUUCUAGUGAGAAAAGAUGUGCCCGAGCGACAACGCUGAACAGGACUUGAUCCAAAUUGAAGACUCGCACUCAGGAGACACUGCUCAGAGAAUGGAAAGGAGGCCCUGCCUGUCCCCAUCUGGGCCUGACCCCUGGUCAGCUCCGUUCCAAGAUUCCGCCAGUGAACACAUUAACAACAAAUCGCUCUCGCUCUCUAUCCAGCUAGCUCUCCCCCCUUCCUCUCUCUAAAACCAAUUUUUAAAAAAUUGGUUUCUUUAAAAAAAAAUAGGGGGGA